GCGGGUGUAGCUCAGGGGUAGAGCGCUACCUUGCCAAGGUCGAAGUCAAGGGUUCGAAUCCCUUCACCCGCUCCA
rnacentral:tRNA from 1 species